AUUGAACGCUGGCGGCAGGCCUAACACAUGCAAGUCGAGCGGAUGAAGGGAGCUUGCUCCUGGAUUCAGCGGCGGACGGGUGAGUAAUGCCUAGUAAUCUGCCUGGUAGUGGGGGAUAACGUCCGGAAACGGGCGCUAAUACCGCAUACGUCCUGAGGGAGAAAGUGGGGGGUCUUCGGACCUCACGCUAUCAGAUGAGCCUAGGUCGGAUUAGCUAGUUGGUGGGGUAAAGGCCUACCAAGGCGACGAUCCGUAACUGGUCUGAGAGGAUGAUCAGUCACACUGGAACUGAGACACGGUCCAGACUCCUACGGGAGGCAGCAGUGGGGAAUAUUGGACAAUGGGCGAAAGCCUGAUCCAGCCAUGCCGCGUGUGUGAAGAAGGUCUUCGGAUUGUAAAGCACUUUAAGUUGGGAGGAAGGGCAGUAAGUUAAUACCUUGCUGUUUUGACGUUACCAACAGAAUAAGCACCGGCUAACUUCGUG
rnacentral:rRNA from 1 species